rnacentral:rRNA from 1 species
GACGAACGCUGGCGGCGUGCUUAACACAUGCAAAUCGAACGAAGUGGCGAACGGGUGAGUAACGCGUAAUCAACCUGCCCUUCAGAGGGGGACAACAGUUGGAAACGACUGCUAAUACCGUAUACCGAAGGAGGGGAUUGCGUCUGAUUAGCUAGUUGGAGGGGUAACGGCCCACGAAGGCGAUGAUCAGUAGCCGGUCUGAGAGGAAGAACGGCCGCAUUGGAACUGAGAGACGACCCAGGCACAUACGGGAGGCAGCAGUAGGGAGUCUUACGCAAUGAACGAAAAUCUGACGGAGCAACGCCGCGUGAGUGAUGACGGCCUACGGGUUGUAGGGCUCUGUUGAUCGGGACGCGGUACCGAAAUAGAAAGCCACGGCUAACUACGUGCCAGCAGCCGCGGUAAUUC